CUACGGGGCGCAGCAGUGUGGAAUAUUGCGCAAUGGGGGAAACCCUGACGCAGCGACGCCGCGUGGAUGAUGAAGGCUUUCGGGUCGUAAAAUCCUGUCAGAAGGGAAGAAAUGCUAUAUGCCUAAUAUGUGUAUAGUUUGACGGUACCUUCAAAGGAAGCACCGGCUAACUCCGUGCCAGCAGCCGCGGUAAUACGGAGGGUGCAAGCGUUGUUCGGAAUUACUGGGCGUAAAGCGCGCGUAGGCGGCCUUUUAAGUCAGAUGUGAAAGUCCACGGCUCAACCGUGGAAGUGCAUUUGAUACUGGGAGGCUUGAGUACUGGAGGGGAUGGUGGAAUUCCCGGUGUAGAGGUGAAAUUCGUAGAUAUCGGGAGGAAUACCGGUGGCGAAGGCGACCAUCUGGCCAGAUACUGACGCUGAGGUGCGAAAGCGUGGGGAGCAAACAGGAUUAGAUACCCCCGUAGUC
rnacentral:rRNA from 1 species